rnacentral:rRNA from 1 species
GACGAACGCUGGCGGCGUGCUUAACACAUGCCAGUCGAACGGAAAGGCCCUGCGUUUGUGGGGUGCUCGAGUGGCGAACGGGUGAGUAACACGUGAGUAACCUGCCCUUGACUUUGGGAUAACUUCAGGAAACUGGGGCUAAUAUCGGAUAGGAGCUCCUGCAGCAUGGUGGGGGUUGGAAAGAUUCGGCGGUUGGGGAUGGACUCGCGGCUUAUCAGCUUGUUGGUGGGGUAGUGGCUUACCAAGGCUUUGACGGGUAGCCGGCCUGGGAGGGUGACCGGCCACCAUGGGACUGAGGUACGGCCCAGACUCCUACGGGAGGCAGCAGUGGAGAAUAUUGCACAGUGGGCGGAAGCCUGAUGCAGCAACGCCGCGUGCGGGAUGACGGCCUUCGGGUUGUAAACCGCUUUCGCCUGUGACGAAGCGUGAGUGACGGUAAUGGGUAAAGAAGCACCGGCUAACUACGUG